AUACUUACCUGACGAGGACCAUACUGGGAUCAGGCAGCCAGUGGGUCCAGGGCGAGGCUUUGCCAUUGCACAUCGGCUUAGCUGACCCUUGCGAUUACCCCAAAUGUGGGUAACUCGGUCGUAUAAUUUCUGGUAGUGGGGGGACCUGCCGCUUCCGUAUUCAUCCCCGU
rfam:Ciona savignyi cont_53340, whole genome shotgun sequence.